rnacentral:rRNA from 1 species
UACGGAGGGGGCUAGCGUUGUUCGGAAUUACUGGGCGUAAAGCGCACGUAGGCGGCUUUGUAAGUUAGAGGUGAAAGCCCGGGGCUCAACUCCGGAACUGCCAUUGAAACUGUUUAGCUUGAGGAUGAGAGAGGUGAGUGGAAUUCCCAGUGUAGAGGUGAAAUUCGUAGAUAUUGGGAAGAACACCGGUGGCGAAGGCGGCUCACUGGCUCAUUACUGACGCUCAGGCGCGAUAGCGUGGGGAUCAAACAGG